CCCGGUGGCGAGUGGCGAACGGGUGAGUAACAUAUCGGAACGUGCCCUGGAGUGGGGGAUAACUAGUCGAAAGACUAGCUAAUACCGCAUACGAUCUACGGAUGAAAGUGGGGGAUCGCAAGACCUCAUGCUCGUGGAGCGGCCGAUAUCUGAUUAGCUAGUUGGUGGGGUAAAGGCCUACCAAGGCAUCGAUCAGUAGCUGGUCUGAGAGGACGACCAGCCACACUGGGACUGAGACACGGCUCAGACUCCUACGGGAGGCAGCAGUGGGGAAUUUUGGACAAUGGGCGCAAGCCUGAUCCAGCAAUGCCGCGUGAGUGAAGAAGGCCUUCGGGUUGUAAAGCUCUUUUGUCAGGGAAGAAACGGUUCGGGUUAAUACCUUGGGCUAAUGACGGUACCUGAAGAAUAAGCACCGGCUAACUACGUGCCAGCAGCCGCGGUAAUACGUAGGGUGCAAGCGUUAAUCGGAAUUACUGGGCGUAAAGCGUGCGCAGGCGGUUGUGCAAGACCGAUGUGAAAUCCCCGGGCUCAACCUGGGAAUGGCAUUGGUGACUGCACGGCUAGAGUGUGUCAGAGGGGGGUAGAAUUCCACGUGUAGCAGUGAAAUGCGUAGAGAUGUGGAGGAAUACCGAUGGCGAAGGCAGCCCCCUGGGAUAAC
rnacentral:rRNA from 1 species